rnacentral:rRNA from 1 species
UACGUAGGAUCCGAGCGUUAUCCGGAGUGACUGGGCGUAAAGAGUUGCGUAGGUGGCAGACAAAGCGAAUAGUGAAACCUGGUGGCUCAACCAUACAGACUAUUAUUCGAACUCGUUUGCUCGAGAGUAGCAGAGGUAACUGGAAUUUCUAGUGUAGGAGUGAAAUCCGUAGAUAUUAGAAGGAACACCAAUGGCGUAGGCAGGUUACUGGGCUAUUUCUGACACUGAGGCACGAAAGCGUGGGGAGCGAACCGG